CCUACGGGCGACAGCAGUGAGGAAUAUUGGUCAAUGGGCGUAAGCCUGAACCAGCCAAGUCGCGUGAGGGAUGAAGGUUCUAUGGAUCGUAAACCUCUUUUAUAAGGGAAUAAAGUGUGGGACGUGUCCUGUUUUGUAUGUACCUUAUGAAUAAGGAUCGGCUAACUCCGUGCCAGCAGCCGCGGUACUACGGAGGAUCCGAGCGUUAUCCGGAUUUAUUGGGUUUAAAGGGUGCGUAGGCGGCCUUUUAAGUCAGCGGUGAAAGUCUGUGGCUCAACCAUAGAAUUGCCGUUGAAACUGGGAGGCUUGAGUAUGUUUGAGGCAGGCGGAAUGCGUGGUGUAGCGGUGAAAUGCUUAGAUAUCACGCAGAACCCCGAUUGCGAAGGCAGCCUGCCAAGCCAUGACUGACGCUGAUGCACGAAAGCGUGGGGAUCAAACAGGAUUAGAUACCCGGGUAGUC
rnacentral:rRNA from 1 species